rnacentral:lncRNA from 1 species
UACAACUUUGGUAUUCAUUAUAAAGACUGGUUUGACCUUUAGCAUUGACAAAAACUGGAUCAAUCUAUUACUAUCCAGAACAACAUGGAAACGGCAACAACUAUAGUAAAAAAAAUCUCAAACCACAUAGCCUAAAAUCAUGAAAUUUUACAGAUGGUUAAAGGAAAUAUCUUUAAAUUUGUGUUCAAUGGUUUGGCCAAUUCAGCCUGUAACAAAAAUAAAAAUGGCGAUGAACACAGACUACACAACCUCAUAAAUUCUCAGGAUGUGGACAUGAUCACUUGUGAGAACUACCCCAUCUAAUCUAACAAAAAAACCAGGGUAUAAAUCUAAUCGAAAGCAAGGGUGUUAAAUAAGAUUCAUCUCACCUAGAUUACGCAAUAAAAAAACUUAGGGUUUGUGCAAUCUCUUUUCUCAUUCAUUUGUCUUCCUUAUUUUCUAUAUCAUUCCUCCCU